GAGGUCUUCGGGGCCCAACCUCCCACCCUUGUAUACUAUACCAAGUUGCUUCGGCGGGCCCGCCGUUCGCGCGGCCGCCGGGGGGGAACCCCUCCCCCCGGGCGAGCGCCCGCCGGAGACCCCAACGUGAACACUGUCUGAAGUUUUGUCGUCUGAGUUCGAUUGUAUCGCAAUCAGUUAAAACUUUCAACAAUGGAUCUCUUGGUUCCGGCAUCGAUGAAGAACGCAGCGAAAUGCGAUAAUUAAUGUGAAUUGCAGAAUUCAGUGAAUCAUCGAGUCUUUGAACGCACAUUGCACCCCCUGGUAUUCCGGGGGGUAUGCCUGUCCGAGCGUCAUUGCUGCCCUCAAGCCCGGCUUGUGUGUUGGGUCCUCGUCCCCCCCGGGGGACGGGCCCGAAAGGCAGCGGCGGCACCGCGUCCGGUCCUCGAGCGUAUGGGGCUUUGUCACACCGCUCUCGUAGGCCCGGCCGGCGCUGGCCGACGCUGAAAAGCAACCAUUAUUUCUCCAGGUUGACCUCGGAUCAGGUAGGGAUACCCGCUGAACUUAAGCAUAUCAAUAGCCCGGAGGAA
rnacentral:rRNA from 1 species